CACAGCCACACUCACCUCCUCAUAAAGUCCAUGUUUGCACCCCAUAAGCAACAAAACAAGGGAGAAAUCCAGCACUCAGGGAUGGUAGACAGGUAUUGAGCUAAGAACUGAGGUGCACUGAGAAAAUGUGUUUCACUUCAGCUGGUGGCUAAAGAAGGAGCCCAGAGUGGCUGAGAUAAAACAUUCUGCCUGUGUAUAUCAGAAUAUGUAAAAUUGGGAUGUUUGCUGUUCCCACCAAAGUCUCAAGUCCAGGGUACAAACAGUUAAACUUCUG